UUAUGGCCAUAUCACGUUGAAACACCGAUUCAUCUACGAUCACUGAAGUUAAACAACGCCGAUCCUGGUCAGUACCUGUAUGGGUGACCGCUUCGGAAUACCAGGAGCU